rnacentral:lncRNA from 1 species
AUUCAAACAAGUUUUCUUAAUCGCUUUUUUUGGAUAUAUAUAUAUAUUAUAUAUAUAUAUAAAUGUUACAUUCGUUAUGUAGGGCAAAGCUGUCUAAAGUAUUUUUCUCAUAGUAGACUGCUGGGGUACAUGAGGAAACAGGCUAAAACAGUUCCUGGGACCACUCUCAGUUGGUCGCAAGUCUGCUUCUCGCAGUCACCAGGGAUCAUAAGUUUGACGCGAACCGUGGCUUGUCUCCCUCGGGCUCUGUGCUUAAGACUGCAGAAGAAUCCCUUGGCAGGGAGGCUGCGGGUGGCACAGCCCCCCGGUUUGGGGGGAUGGCUCCCGAGGACAUCUGUCGAAAGAGAGAGACCCGCUGUGGGACGGUGGCUCGGCUGGCUGGAGGUGCGCUGCUGCCGGGGGCCGGCUGCGGAAGGGAGGCCAGGGACUCCCCCACAGUGGGGUGAGGCCUGGCGAUCAGGGUGGAGAUCUCGUGAGGCAGGGAGGGCUGUGAGGCAGAGAGGGGCCGCACCUCCCGGCUCAGGAUCUCGUUCUCCUGGUUGUUGAACACCCCUGUGUUGAGGUCCUUCUGGAACUUCUGCAAGAGGAUGGAGUUCUUCUUCCCUGCACAGACAAGCAAAAUACUUAGCCAGCUUGACACGAUGACUUUACACUUUGGUUUCCAUCACUGAUGGGCACAUCAGCACUGUAACUGCCUGUGGCCUUCACUCACAGUCUGAUCUCCCUCACUCUGUUCCAGAACUGCAUGCUAUAAUAACACACCAUGUUAACCUGAACUUCCUGUGCCCCUUCACUUGCAGUGCAUUGCCAUUAUUACGAUUACUCUGAAAAUAUAACCAGGGUAAUUUACUGAACAAUGGGAUGGAAAAAGCCACCAGGCUCUGCAUACCUUUCUGACUGCAAAACCGUCCUGAUUUCCACUUAACUCUUACAUAAGUUAUAAAUACAUCUGCCUUUUAGUACAUUCCCUGGAACUAAUUAUUAGACAAUAGUAACCAUUGACCCUUAGCAUAUACGAAAUCAUCUUACGUGUAUGACCUAAUACGAGUUCACUGCUAAUGCAGUACCUGCUACCCGAACAGCAGGCUUCAUACAGCAUACUCAUCUCCUCUCUUAUCCCGAUGUUUGCUUAAUGCACUCAAUUUUCAGUCAUCAGAUACAGAGGCAUACAACUGCACUGAGUUGUCUCUGUUUGAGAGAACACAAUCUGCAUUUUAUCUUUCGUGCUGUAUAGAUUUUGUGUUGUAAACAUAGCACUUCAGACUGGAUUACUGCUGCAAGAGCAGAGUGCCCUUUAAUACCAGCAUUAUUUAGGUGCAUAUUAUUUAGGAGUUGGACUGCACUUCCAAAGACCACUGGAAGACAAAUUGUUAAGAGUUUGAAAAUUCUGAAUAGGAUAAAUUAGUAUACUAAGUAAUCAUAAUCCAAAAUAAUAAAAGAGAUCUCUUCAAUAUUAUAAACCUGUAU